ACACCUGUAGCUCAGUGGCUUGGGCACCAGACACAUACCCUGGAGUUGGCGGGUUCGAACCCAGCCCAGGUCUG
rnacentral:tRNA from 1 species